CAGAGAGAGAGUGGAGACAGAUGGACGGAGAGGAAAGGAGGAGAAGAGAGAGAGAGACGGGGUGGAGAGAGAG